GUUGGCUGAAUUGAGGGCUUUGAGGCUAUGUGAGGUAAGUCUUAGGUCACAAUGGGUUGAAUUGUGUUCUCCUGAAACAUGUGGCAAAGGUUUUAAUUGCCAGGACCUAUGCAAAGCAGUCUGGUGGUGAAGUGAAGGCUUUGCAGAAGUCCUUGAGUUCAAAUGAGGUCACACUGAGCAUGGGUCCCAGCCCAAUAUGACUAGCAUCCUACACGAUGAAGAGAAUGUGGACACAAGCAUUCACACAAGGAAACAGAGGCCGAGCCUGGGGUGAUACAGCUGUAAGCUACAGUACACAGCUGAGGCAGUCCCAGGGAACGAAUGCAGAAGACUCUUGGAGCUACAUGAUCCAGAGCCGAGCCAUAAACCAUCUGCUGGGAAGGUCCACAGACGCUGUCCACGAGCCUCCCCUCUGGGAGACUCUCAUGCUGUAACUCAUGCUGUAAAGUGCCCCACUUCAGGGAGCCUAAUGAUAAAGAUGAAAUGAGACCAACAUUAUAUUCAAUGUGCUAGACACUUCAA